UGGGAGCAGUUUCCCCCACUCCUCAAAAUUCUCUUCUUCCAUCUAAUUAUUCCUAUUAAUUACCUUCAUCCCUUCUCCUCAUUCUCCCUCUUUCUCUCUCCUCCUCAACCUUUUCUAGAGAGAGAAAGUGAGAAUGCCUCAGAGAGGCUAUGUAUUGAUCUUCGUCUUAUGGGCUCUGCUCACAUUGAUCACCCCAACGCUCAUCUUUUGGUCCGCAUCAGCAAAACCCAAUUUGGAUUCUCAAGAAGAAACAGUGAAGGAGAUGAAGGCAAGGAGGAUGAUGGUCACGUUGGAGAGAGCUGAUCACCAUAAAAAAGACAAAACAGUUGCGACUGCAGUUACAGCCGAAGCUCCAGCUCCAUCUCCAUUACCGUUAAUGGGGAAUGAAACAGUUAGGUAAAGAUGGGUUUUUUCUUUUUUCUUUUUUCUUUUUUCUUUUUUUUUUUUGAAAAAAAAAUAAAUUUUUAGAGGGAACAAAUUGCAUGAUAUACGAGGGUACGUGGCUCUGUAUUUGAGAGGAGGGUGUGAAUUCCGUUACAAUUUUAGAGUAAAAUGCAUAGGGAUCAUAAAUACUUGGAUUGAUCGAUUCAUUUGAUUUGUUUAAUUUGUAUAUUAUUUUCUUUUACAGUACUUGUUUGUCAUUGACAUAAGUCUAGCUAAGGUGAUAUUGGAUUGUAGAGGACAUUUGUAUCCUCUCUUUAACUUC